UUAGGCGCUCUUCGGGUCGAUCCCUAUCACCCUGGCUGUCUUCCUGCAUCUUUCGGACUAGCUUAGGUUAGUUUUGGAACCCCUUCCUUUGUUGCUCUUCUUUCAUUUUUUAUCCUUCAUGUUACGCUCGUUCGGUUUCUCCCCGAGCACUUUGUUUCUUAUUUUUUUUAUUUUUUCGAGAUUUUUUAAGGUUUUCUCUUGAUUCAAAAUAUCCUCCAACACUUCCUCCUGUAGCAGUUCUAGGAGUUUGCCCGUUCCAGCCUCCCAAAAUCUUAGUUUCAUAGAUGAACCUCGUCCAUUUUCUAUACCAG
rnacentral:lncRNA from 1 species